rnacentral:pre_miRNA from 1 species
UAAAUACUCCCUCCGUCCGAAAAAGCUUGUCCCUCAAAUAGAUGUAUCUAGCACCAAGUUAGUGCUAGAUACAUCUAUUUGAGGGACAAGCUUGGGACAAGUUUUUUCGGACGGAGGGAGUAAGAA